UACGAGGGGGGCGAGCGUUGUUCGGAAUUAUUGGGCGUAAAGGGUGCGUAGGCGGUUCCGCAAGUCCUGUGUGAAAUCUUCGGGCUCAACUCGAAGUCUGCACGGGAAACUGCGGGGCUUGAGUGUGGGAGAGGUGAGUGGAAUUCCCAGUGUAGAGGUGAAAUUCGUAGAUAUUGGGAAGAACACCGGUGGCGAAGGCGGCUCACUGGCUCGUUUCUGACGCUCAGGCGCGACAGCGUGGGGAUCAAACAGG
rnacentral:rRNA from 1 species